rnacentral:lncRNA from 1 species
UUUAGUUAACCAACCUUUUAUUAUCAUAAUAUAAAUUAUUGCAAAAAAAACAAAAACAAAGUUUAACAAAUACAACAAAUAUGAAAAUCCAACACAGAGAUCACGCGGGAUCAAACCAAAGCACAUCACAAUGAAACAAAUUAUUACAACAAUAACAUAAGAGAUACAUCAAAUACAUGAAGUUAUUAAUUCAAGGAUUAAUCGAUACAGUUGAGUUAAGCUCCACUGGCAAUGGAUUUGCGUUAAACUCGAAAUGCAAUUGAGUUAGGUUAAAAAUUGGGUUUGGCAAAAAUUGGAGAAGGAGGCGUGAGGCAAAACAAGGCUUGAUCAUAAUAGAAGAAGAAAGAGUAACCAAUAAAACAAUGAGAAAGAGCAGCUUGUAUGAUGCCAUUUUUGGUGUUUUGAUGAGAAAGAGCUUGUAUUGCUA